rnacentral:tRNA from 1 species
CGGGGAGUAGCGCAGCUCGGUAGCGCACCUGACUGGGGGUCAGGUGGUCUGGGGUUCAAAUCCCCCCUCCCCGACCA